rnacentral:rRNA from 1 species
GACGAACGCUGGCGGCGUGCCUAAUACAUGCAAGUAGAACGCAGUUGCGAACGGGUGAGUAACGCGUAGGUAACUUCCUCAUAGCGGGGGAUAACUAUUGGAAACGAUAGCUAAUACCGCAUACUGUGAGAUGGACCUGCGUUGUAUUAGCUAGUUGGUGAGGUAAAGGCUCACCAAGGCGCCGAUACAUAGCCGAGCUGAGAGGGUGAUCCGGCAAAAUUGGAACGAGACAAGGGCCCGACUCCUCACGGAGGCCGCAGGUGGGGAACUUCGGCAAUGGACCGAAGUCCGGACGAGGCACGGCGCGGGGGUGAAGAAGGUUUUUGGGGUGGAAAGGUUCGUUGUUAGAGAAGCGGUAACUAACCAGAAAGCGACGGCUAACUACGUGCCAGCAGCCGCGGUAAUAC